rnacentral:lncRNA from 1 species
AUGUCGUGUUCAUAUCCCAGGUGGUGGCUGGCAGGAUGGAAGGUGAGUGCUGGGAGCCAAGCCGCCCUACCCGUAGGUGAAUCCCAAGCCCGUGAGGUGUCAUCUCAUUCGCUCCCUGUCUGGAGGUCUAUGCGGAUGCCCCUCUGUCUGUGCUCGGUGUGCGGGAGAGUUUUCCCCCUGUGGGCAAGUGCAGGCAGGCCCCUGCUACCUGCCGCCGCGGCCACCGGACGCUGUCUUUGCAGAGCUCCACCCAGGAGAUGGUCCAGGAGCUGGCGCAUGGGUCCUACGGCUCCAUCUCCCUGGACAGGGGGCAAGUGCAGCAGACCACCGACCUUGCCCGGGGCUGGACUGAGGGGAGACGCGGAGAGUCACUCGGGCAGCGGAAUGAGGCCUGCAGGAUGCGGGCCCUCCAGGCAGGCCUGCUGGAGAGGCUGCCGCCGUCCAUAGGACCAGCCUUGGCGCCUCGAAACAUGGCCAACGUCACCACCAUCGUGUUUGACUGCGCGGCUGUCCUCACCUCCCACGGGGUCCUGGACCACCUACUUGCUACGUGAGUGCCCAGCCCCUCCUCAGCACAGUGGUGACUCUGCCCACUGCCAGCUGUGUGUCUUGGAAACGGCCCUCCAUCUCUCUGAGCUUCGAUUGCUCCUCUGCAAAGUGGAGUGGGAGAGGAUAAACUUCAUCGGGUUCUGGUGGGCACGAAUGGGAUGAGCCACGGCAGGUGCUUCCCUGGGGCCUGGCUCUACAGAAGGGGCUGAGAGACGUGCCGUGGUUGUUCCUGGUUAUUCUUUCCCUCUCCCCGAUGAAGAGCAGUCUGCUCCCCCAUCGCUGGGAUGGGGCCUUUCUGAGUUUGCAAAGGCACACGGAAAGCACUCUGGCAGGGAGUGUGGGAUUCCAUCCAGCUGGUCGUGGGGCGGGUCCUUGGAGUAGCCAAGGAGGGGUCUCCGGGGCCGCAGAGGGGCCCCAGGCCCACUCAGCUACCGGGGAUGCUUCUGGUUGGAGUUCAUUCGAGAACACUGUAUAUUAAGCACCUGUGACAUGCGGGAGCUUUAGAGACACUUGGCACAACGCAGUGAAUGAAGCAGACACAGCCCCUGGACCCCCGCAGCAGCCUGAGACUCAGAUAGUCACACACCAUAUCAUCCACAGAUCCUGUCCCCCGCCUGUCCCAGGGGAUGCCCUCCCUAUGCUCCUUUACGACUGGAGGCCUCUUCCCACGUUCUCAUGCAUGAUGGACCCCAGCGCCAACUAAAGA